UUAGUGGAAGCGUCUGGAAAGGCGCGCGAUACAGGGUGACAGCCCCGUACACAAAAGCGCAUGUGCUGUGAGCUCGAUGAGUAGGGCGGGACACGUGGUAUCCUGUCUGAAUAUGGGGGGACCAUCCUCCAAGGCUAAAUACUCCUGACUGACCGAUAGUGAACCAGUACCGUGAGGGAAAGGCGAAAAGAACCCCGGCGAGGGGAGUGAAAAAGAACCUGAAACCGUGUACGUACAAGCAGUGGGAGCACAGGUUUACCUGUGUGACUGCGUACCUUUUGUAUAAUGGGUCAGCGACUUAUAUUCUGUAGCAAGGUUAACCGAAUAGGGGAGCCGGAGGGAAACCGAGUCUUAAUUGGGCGUUAAGUUGCAGGGUAUAGACCCGAAACCCGGUGAUCUAGCCAUGGGCAGGUUGAAGGUUGGGUAACACUAACUGGAGGACCGAACCGACUAAUGUUGAAAAAUUAGCGGAUGACCUGUGGCUGGGGGUGAAAGGCCAAUCAAACCGGGAGAUAGCUGGUUCUCCCCGAAAGCUAUUUAGGUAGCGCCUCGUGAAUUCAUCUCCGGGGGUAGAGCACUGUUUCGG
rnacentral:rRNA from 1 species